rnacentral:lncRNA from 1 species
AUGGUAGGAAGGGUACUUGACUUUAUUUUAUUCGUUUGAGGCAGGCUCUCAUUGGUAAUCCCCGCUGGGUUGGAAUUUACCAUGUAGAUCGGUCUGGCCUUAAGCUCAGAGAUUUGCCUGCCUCUGCUACCCAAGUGCUGGGCUUACAGACAUGCCACUGUGGCUGAAGCAAUUUUGUUUUUAACGCUACAUGACAAGACAUAUAGUCUUGCUACAUUGCAUCUGGAUGCAUAAGCUAGCAACAACUAACUGUUGGCUUGUGUGCGUAUGUGUGGAGUCUGAGGACAACUUUAACUGGUAUUCCUGGGUGCCUUGCUUUUUGAGACAGCUUUUUCAUUGGCCCAGAAAUCGUCAAGUAGGCUAGGUUGCUUGGCCAGAGAUCCCCAGGGAUCCUGAGCUGGGAUUGUAAAUGUAUGCAGGCAUACAUGAGUUUUGUCUUUUUUUUUUUUUUAAUGAGUUCUGGAGGUUAAUCUCAGGUCUUUGUCUUACAAACUAAGCACCUUAAAGACUGUACUAGCAUGCUCUGUCCCAAGAAAAAGUUUGUUAUUUAAGUUGGGGUUUUUUUUUUGUACAUUUAUUUACUUGUGUGUGUGUGUGUGUGUGUGUGUGUGUGUGUGUGUGUGUGUGUGAGAGAGAGAGAGAGAGAGAGAGAGAGAGAGAGAGAGAGAGAGAGAGAGAGAGCCCACAUGAGGCAGCCCUGUCUUUCCAUAGUGUGGGUUUUAGGGAUGGAAUUUAGAUUGUCAGCCUUGGUGGCAGGAAGCUCCACCCACUGAGCCAUGUCACCAGUCCAACCCGCAAUUGUUAAGAUGGAAGAGAAGUCGGAGAGGGAGGGAAUCCACAUGGUUACACUGCAAGGCGGUUUAUGGCAUGACUCAUGGAAAAGCCCGUAACAAGCACUGUACUAGUUUCCCUCUGAUGCUAAGCCAGACUGAACACAUUGUUCAAGGUUUAAUGAAAUACCUCAACCCAUGGAGCUGCUUAAUGUCAUUGGGGGUAACCUUUCAGCGGGGAGAGGUCUUUAUAGCAAGUAAUUCAAACCACAGUGUUUCUUAAAACAAAAUGUCAGUGUCCGUUUAAUUUCCUGGCUCUCCUGAGUGUGGGAUGUCCAUUGAUCUGCCUCAAAAGGCGUAGAUGGCAGAAACUCCGUCUCCACCCUGUAUAAAAGCGAACCUGCUACAUUAUAUUAUGUAUAAAAUACAACGGUAGCACCAUUCAAGACCCCAGGCUGUUGUGAUCUCCUUCCAGAGAUAACGUCUCCCACUCUGUGCUCAGCCUCUGUCUUUGUGAUUGGUCUCCCGUUUACUGGAAACUGAACUGGAUCCUGCAUUCGGACCAAAGGCGAGAACCUACACUCACACACAUCUCCCUUUAUCUGCCUCAGGACUGUUUUUAAGAAAUGCCGAGACGCAGCAGAGGAAGCUGGCGUGGGGCGGCUUCUAGACUGGCGCCGGCUGAGGGUCCUUGUCUCCUACCCUUCUGUCAGCCAUCCAAUGGACUGUCCCUGUCAGCUCCUUGUCCCUGUUGGUCUUGGGACCUUCCAGUGCCACCUCUGAGAAGCUCUGAGUUACCUGGGAAAGUUCUAAGAUUUGCUCUGGGCUGCACCAGGAUGGGGGCCCAUUACUGCCUGGAGCUUCUUCAUAGCCUCCUCAUGUCUGAAGCAGGGAAUAUACAUUGUCUUAGACACCUCUUUUACUCUUCCUAACAUGCGGCUAU